GCGCCGGUAGCUCAGUUGGCGGAGCAGUGGGACGACGGUACCCCUUGGUUCCGGGUUCUAGUCCCGGCCGACGCU